GGUUUUCCUUAUCUAUCUAGUUCGUUGAUUAAUCUGGAACCUGUCCCAUUGUAUUUUCGGCAGAAAACACAAUAAGACAGGUUCUGCGUUUAGUUGCCGCGCUCUAAAGUAUG
rnacentral:sRNA from 1 species